rnacentral:tRNA from 1 species
GGGCGGCUAGCUCAGCUGGAAGAGCAUCUCGUUUACACCGAGAGGGUCGGCGGUUCGAGCCCGUCGCCGCCUA